AGUUUCCAACACAAGAAGAAAGAGUCCAACAAACAAGAAAUACUAUACUAGAAAAUAAUGGAGUGAGUCCCCCCUUUACCCACCACAGUUAGGAAGGUUCAUCUUCACCCAACGUGGUUGGCCAAAUGCAUCCACAACAUGAGAGUGAAAUCCAGACACUUGUCAAUAAUAUGCUGGAAACAACGCAUCUACUCUCUCUCCCUUCUAUUAUCAUAUCCUCUCUUUAUCAGGCUGUAAGCUAAGUGAAUGUGAUUUGUUAUAAGUAGAGCAGUCUCAAGUACCCUCCUCCACCAUCAAGAGAAUUGAGAGAGCAAUUGGUGUGGCUGUGGCGAGGAGAUCAUAUAUCUCACAUAAAUAAGAGUAUGGUUUUGGGUCGCAUGCUUGCGUGGAACCAUCAAAACUUUGCAUUUGAAAAGGGGUGAUGGUGCCACGCUGUGUGCGCCUAAAAUGCAUAUUCUUCUACUAUAUUUGAUGAAUGUUGGAAAAUGUGCAAAGCUUAGCACUAAGGUAGGGUAGUAGCUGACUGAUAAGCUCCCAGUACAGAAUUAACAACCCUGGGCUUUUUGAUGUUUUGACAAGAAAAAAAAGAUUACAAAUUAGAGUAGAGAUAUCAGUUGGUUUGUUUGCAGGACAGUAAAGGUCUCUACUGUCUAGCUGAAGAUCAAGUGACCACUUCCUUAAGAAAAUGCUGGUUUGAAAACAAUUAGCCAUCCACCCCCACGAUGGACUGCGCUUUCGCUGAGAUUAACUUUGAAAUUAAUUCAAAAUGUGUGGUUGAAUUCAAAACUAAUUAUGAGGUUGGGGUUAAAAUGGAAAAAUGAUCUUUAAAUAUAAUGUAUAUAUAAACUAAAAAUUAUUAAUGAUUUGAUAUUUAACACUGUAGUUUUAUUAAUAAAAUAAUAUUGUGUAUCAUAAUAUUUGUCUUUAUUUUUAUUAUUUUUUAAAAUAAUGUUUACAUCAAUUUAAGUGUAUUGGUAAUUGGAUUAUAUGUAUUUUUAUAAUAUUUAACGUAUAAAACUUUAAAAUUCAGAUAAAUACUUUAAUGAUUUAUUUAAUAAUUAUUUUAAAUUAUUUAUUAUAUUAAAUGAUAAAAUUUUAAUAAAUUAUAUUUAAUUAAGAAUUAUUUCAAACAAAUGAGAAUAAUUGUAAGUUUAUUGAUAUGGAAUAGAAAUAAAUAAAAUGUGAGUAUUUGAUAUUAUUUUACAACAGUUUUAAAAAAUUGUAGUGUAUCUUUUUUAAUAUUUUAUCUAGAAUUUAAAAACUUCACUAAAUAUUUCCCCAAAAUGAUAUAUUUGUUAAAGGAGGGUCCAAUUAAUAUUUAGUGAGAAUUCGAGACAUCAAUUGGCAAAGUACAUUGAUCUCAUGUUAUCGAAACACAAGUUUGCAUUGCAACAGAAAUUUUCAAGAGCUAAUAAUGGAGCUGGAUGCACCAAAUUGAAUUUAAAUGCGCAUCCAAAAGGACACUAAGAGAAAAUGGUGAUCCCCUUUUCACCUUUGUUAUAGACACCAAUAAAAAACAAUAGUUGGGCUGGGACAAAUUUGGUUUCUUGACCUAUUCUCUUUGGUUUGCUAGCUUAGCGUACGUGGAAGAAUAGAAUUUUUUUUGUCUUUUAAGGAUUAAUAUGGAGUCUUAUAGAAAUUAUUAAGAUAUCAGUAAAUUCAAUGUAUAUGUAGGAUCUGCCUAGUUAGUGCAAUUUAGAUUUUGAGCGCCUCUUGAGAGGGACUUUGGAAUGAUAAAUAGUUGAAAUUUGGUUGUAUUUAUUUAGCCUAGUUGGUUUUUUACAAAAUAAAUAAAUAAGAUUUGAAAUUGGUAUUUAAAUUA